rnacentral:rRNA from 1 species
AACGAACGCUGGCGGCAUGCCUAACACAUGCAAGUCGAACGAGACCUUCGGGUCUAGUGGCGCACGGGUGCGUAACGCGUGGGAACCUGCCCUUAGGUUCGGAAUAACUCCCCGAAAGGGGUGCUAAUACCGGAUAAUGUCUUCGGACCAAAGAUUUAUCGCCUUUGGAUGGGCCCGCGUUGGAUUAGCUAGUUGGUAGGGUAAAAGCCUACCGAGGCGACGAUCCAUAGCUGGUCUGAGAGGAUGAUCAGCCACACUGGGACUGAGACACGGCCCAGACUCCUACGGGAGGCAGCAGUGGGGAAUAUUGGACAAUGGGCGAAAGCCUGAUCCAGCAAUGCCGCGUGAGUGAUGAGGGCCUUAGGGUUGUAAAGCUCUUUUACCCGGGAUGAUAAUGACAGUACCGGGAGAAUAAGCUCCGGCUAACUCCGUG